rnacentral:rRNA from 1 species
UACGUAGGGUGCAGGCGUUAAUCGGAAUUACUGGGCGUAAAGCGUGCGCAGGCGGUUUCUUAAGUCAGAUGUGAAAGCCCCGGGCUUAACCUGGGAACUGCGUUUGAAACUGGGAGACUUGAGUGUGGCAGAGGGGGGUGGAAUUCCACGUGUAGCAGUGAAAUGCGCAGAUAUCAGGAGGAACACCGAUGGCGAAGGCAGUGAUCUGGGCCGGUACUGACGCUGAGGAGCGAAAGCGUGGGUAGCAAACAGG